UGCUAGUUGUACGAGUUCAGACUCGUAGCAGAUAGCUCAGUAACACGUGGCCAAACUACCCUCUGGAGCGCGACAACCUCGGGAAACUGAGGCUAAUCGCGCAUACCGCUCUCAGGCUGGAACUGCCGAGAGCUCGAAAUGCUCCGGCGCCAGAGGAUGUGGCUGCGGCCGAUUAGGUAGACGGUGGGGUAACGGCCCACCGUGCCAGUAAUCGGUACGGGUUGUGAGAGCAAGAGCCCGGAGACGGUAUCUGAGACAAGAUACCGGGCCCUACGGGGCGCAGCAGGCGCGAAACCUUUACACUGCACGCCAGUGCGAUAAGGGGACUCCAAGUGCGAGGGCAUAGAGCCCUCGCUUUUCUGUACCGUAAGGUGGUACAAGAAUAAGUGCUGGGCAAGACCGGUGCCAGCCGCCGCGGUAAUACCGGCAGCACGAGUGAUGGCCGCUCUUAUUGGGCCUAAAGCGUCCGUAGCUGGCCGCGCAAGUCCAUCGGGAAAUCCGCACGCCUAACGUGCGGGCGUCCGGUGGAAACUGCGUGGCUUGGGACCGGAAGAUCCAGAGGGUACGUCCGGGGUAGGAGUGAAAUCCUGUAAUCCUGGACGGACCACCGGUGGCGAAAGCGCUCUGGAAAGACGGAUCCGACGGUGAGGGACGAAAGCUCGGGUCACGAACCGGAUUAGAUACCCGGGUAGUCCGAGCUGUAAACGAUGUCUGCUAGGUGUGCCAC
rnacentral:rRNA from 1 species